UGGGGAAUUUUGGACAAUGGGCGAAAGCCUGAUCCAGCAAUGCCGCGUGUGUGAAGAAGGCCUUCGGGUUGUAAAGCACUUUUGUCCGGAAAGAAAUCCUUGGCUCUAAUACAGUCGGGGGAUGACGGUACCGGAAGAAUAAGCACCGGCUAACUACGUGCCAGCAGCCGCGGUAAUACGUAGGGUGCAAGCGUUAAUCGGAAUUACUGGGCGUAAAGCGUGCGCAGGCGGUUUGCUAAGACCGAUGUGAAAUCCCCGGGCUCAACCUGGGAACUGCAUUGGUGACUGGCAGGCUAGAGUAUGGCAGAGGGGGGUAGAAUUCCACGUGUAGCAGUGAAAUGCGUAGAGAUGUGGAGGAAUACCGGUGGCGAAGGCAGCCCCCUGGGCCAAUACUGACGCUCAUGCACGAAAGCGUGGGGAGCAAACAGGAUUAGAUACCCUGGUAGUCCACGCCCUAAACGAUGUCAACUAGUUGUUGGGGAUUCAUUUCCUUAGUAACGUAGCUAACGCGUGAAGUUGACCGCCUGGGGAGUACGGUCG
rnacentral:rRNA from 1 species